rnacentral:rRNA from 1 species
GACGUAGGGCGCGAGCGUUGUCUGGAUUUAUUGGGCGUAAAGAGCUCGUAGGCGGCUUGUCGCGUCGGCUGUGAAAACCCGCGGCUCAACUGUGGGCGGGCAGCUGAUACGGGCAGGCUGGAGUUCGGUAGGGGAGACUGGAAUUCCUGGUGUAGCGGUGGAAUGCGCAGAUAUCAGGAGGAACACCGGUGGCGAAGGCGGGUCUCUGGGCAGUAACUGACGCUGAGGAGCGAAAGCGUGGGGAGCGAACAGG